UUUUUUUUUUUUUUUUUUUCAAAGGGACAUCACCAAAUAUUCAUAGAUGUUUACCCAUUAGCAUGAAACAAAACAGAGAUGUGGAGACCUGUCUAAAAGAAUAAGCAACUAUUAAACUAUUAUGCAUAAUAUUUAAUGUACCACUUGACUCUUUACAGUUCUUUGUACAUAUGAACAGACUAUUUGCAGAAUACCCCACAAAGACAGCAGGUCCUCUCAUCCCAAAUGAUGAAACCUGUGACAAAAAAAAUUCCCUGUCUGGUGAAGCCCCACUGAAACUGCCUGCUCAGUACUGCAGGAGAAGCCAGUGCUGGAAAUAAAUUUUCUGAAUGCUUUUCUCUGGUCUCUCAGACAGUCUGAUCUUAGCCCUGGAUAAUGCCUAAAUGCUUUUGGAAACAUUAGCCCCGUGCUCUGCACAUCGUAGUGCACAAUUAAUAACAUCAUAGCAGAUAUGUAGUAAUGUGAGUAACAGCUGAUGGACAUAUGCUGGUUAAGUGAGCAAGGGGAGGGCUCUCUCAGACUGCUCUUGGCCACAGGACCUUGCAAAACAGCGGUGGCAAUGCCAGCUCUCCAUCCUGAAGCCAUCUUGUGCUCCUACCUUAUCAGCCACCUUGCACCUGCAGCUGCCUGACCUCUUGAUAGCUGAAGAAGUUCAACUCAAACAGAUGCAGCAAGAACUGAAAGAGACUCAGAGCCACACAAAGAAACAAAGCAAUGUUCAUGCAUUUCCCAGGCAGAUGAUGAAAGGUCUCAUUACUACAAAAGCCACCUCACACUCCCCACAAGCUUCAGCACCCUCACUGGAUGCUAUAUCCCUCCCCCUUCGUCCCCCCCCCCCCCCCCGUUAUCAUUAGCACAGUAGGGCUGCUUUUCUCACAGGUGUGUGUAUUCGCAAUAGAAACUCACUGUUUUAUUCUGCUUUUCUUGUACAGAUCUAUCUGGGCUUGAAUACUCAUGCAUGGUCAAAGCCAAACAUCACUCACACAAUGCACACAGACCCUUCCACUGCCACAAUGCCUAUGCAAGGCUAUGGUUGUGCCAAGGCAUAGAAACUCCGUGCAGACUUUUCCUGGCUCCCAGGGCACAGAGAUCACUUUAUAAGGGGUGGCUGGCUCCAUGCCCCUCCUUAAACAGGCAGAGAUCCUGUGAGGAUGCUAAGCAGGGGAGAGACCUCUUCAGUACAAGAUCCUCUUCUGGAGAUAACACCAGACGUUCAGACUCAAGCACAUCCAGCUGCUUUUUAACUUACUUGAAACAGUAAAAUAGAUAAAUAAAAACAAAACAAAAUAAAAUAAAAAUUAUUUUACAAUAAUUUCUGCUUUAGAAGUCCAAAAGGUUAGAUGUGAAAAGGGAUGGAUAAUGCAGGGGACACUCUUCUCCCCUCAAGUGAAUCUAUACCUCCCAUAGACAAAUAAGAAAGACCAUAAACUACUAGCAUAUACAAAGUUAUGUCUAACUGUGUACUGCUGUGGAACUGGGGCCUUGCUAUGUGUUGCUGCACUCAGUUCACAAAAUAUUUCUGUAACAGUAACAGGCCAUUUGCGAAAAUGAAGUUCAGUCUAGAGUACAGCAGACCAUGCAACAGUGAGCAUCCAACUGAAGGCAAUUUGUCAUGCAGAAGUUCUGCAAAGAGAACUCUGUUUUCAGAGUACCACUUAAACUAAGCCAUCCUCCUGAGGACCCCAGUCAACCCUCUUUUACGUAAUAGAUUUUUCUUGUUUGAAGCAGCGUAUGUUUGCAAGGACAUGGCUGUAGCAGCCAAUGUCACAUCCAAAGCAGAAUGAGAAAGCAGAGCCUUUUCCACCCUGCCCCUGAGGCCACAAGGAAGGAGAGCUGUAGGGGGGCAAACAUAAGGAAGUGCUCUCUCCGCAUUUACCUAUGCAUCAGAAAUACCAUUUGCAGGUGUAAUCCAUUUACAUGAAAUUAAAUCUUGCCCUUUUUUAACAAGUCUCUGCAACAUCAACCAUUUGCCCAUUUGGAUGGCCUGGACAAUCAUUUGUUACAUGCCAAUGCGAGAUAAUCCACUCUGAAGUCAUUAAUGCAGUGUCGAGAUCUGGCUGUAGUGGAAUCAUGACACAACUGGGUACGAUUCAAAACGGGCUCCGCUC
ensembl:lncRNA